rnacentral:misc_RNA from 1 species
UCGGCCACCUGGAGGGACUGGUGUUCGCACUGGUCGGCUUGCUAGUGUAUCAGACGACAAAAGUAUAUCACUGUAUGAUUAUUCCUGAACAUACAUGGUAUGUUGGGUUUAAAAGCAUCAAGGAUCUGUUUGUGUUGCAAGAUUCACUUCUGCUUUUAUUGUUAUUUAUCACUGAUCUCAAAGAAAUGUUUUGUUUUAGAUUCUUUAUCGUCUGCUUGAUUUAUUUUUGUUUCAUGAUAUCGUGAACAAAAGAGGCAGAUCCGAGAUUCAUUCGUUGCCACUUUCCCAUUGAACCUUUGAAAUACCGUGGCACCCAUCGCCAAAUUCUGCCAAGCAUGUUACUGGGCUUCUGCAAUCUAUAUGAACAUUUCUGGGCAUG